AGGUGAAAAUUUCGUUAGAUAUUUCGGAAAGAACCACCAGUGGCGAAGGCGGCUCACUGGACUUGGUAUUGACGCCUGAGGUGCCGAAAGCCGUGGGGAGCCAAACAGGAUUUAGAUACCCCUGGUAGUCCCACGCCGUAAACGAUGAUAACUAGCUGUCCGGGCACUUGGUGCUUGGGUGGCGCAGCUAACGCAUUAAGUUAUCCCGCCUGGGGAGUACGGUCGCAAGAUUAAAACUCAAAGGAAUUGACGGGGGCCUGCACAAGCGGUGGAGCAUGUGGUUUAAUUCGAAGCAACGCGCAGAACCUUACCAGCGUUUGACAUGUCCGGACGAUUUCCAGAGAUGGAUUUCUUCCCUUCGGGGACUGGAACACAGGUGCUGCAUGGCUGUCGUCAGCUCGUGUCGUGAGAUGUUGGGUUAAGUCCCGCAACGAGCGCAACCCUCGCCUUUAGUUACCAUCAUUUAGUUGGGUACUCUAAAGGAACCGCCGGUGAUAAGCCGGAGGAAGGUGGGGAUGACGUCAAGUCCUCAUGGCCCUUACGCGCUGGGCUACACACGUGCUACAAUGGCAACUACAGUGGGCAGCAAUCCCGCGAGGGUGAGCUAAUCUCCAAAAGUUGUCUCAGUUCGGAUUGUUCUCUGCAACUCGAGAGCAUGAAGGCGGAAUCGCUAGUAAUCGCGGAUCAGCAUGCCGCGGUGAAUACGUUCCCAGGCCUUGUACACACCGCCCGUCACACCAUGGGAGUUGGGUUCACCCGAAGGCGUUGCGCUAACUCGCAAGAGAGGCAGGCGACCACGGUGGGCUUAGCGACUGGGGUGAAGUCGUAACAAGGUAGCCGUAG
rnacentral:rRNA from 1 species